ensembl:lncRNA
AAGAGCUAGCCUGCCAAGAGAGCCUGUUUCCUGGAUGAAGGUUGCUUUCUAAGGUGAAGUGGUCUGUGACUAGUGACCCUAGAACUGGCUGGAGGAUAUGAUAGCUGAGUGAAGCAAAUCCUUCACUGAGGUUCUGUUGACUCUGGGAACCUUUUACUAUGAAGUGACUUGUUUUUGUUGGAAAGGAUUUCUGCUUCACAGUGAUGCCAUACUUAUUCUCUAUUAUCUUCAAUGAAUUUUAUAUAGGCAAGCCAAGAUAGAACAGAAGAGUCAAAAGAAGCUGUAAAUGAAACUAGCAUUUCCAGUAUAUUUCUUCUUUAGAUGAAUAGUAUAAAUUUGAAACAAUUUCAAAUAAUUAAAAUACGCUAAAUAUAUGGCGUACAUUGCCACUCCCGCUGUUGUAAAUCGGUUUACCUUUGCUGCAUUUAUAUCUCUAGGAUUUAACUUUGUAUGAAUAGAAAGAAAUAUGAUGUGUAAGAUGUGUGUUUAUAUGAAAGCUGUACUUUCUUCCAAGAGAAUGUAUGCAACUUUGACUUGUUUUGUACCAAACAAACAAAAAAACCAAAUAAACAAAAAGAU